GGGGACUGGAAACCUCAUGAAGACUGCCAAAUACAAUCUCGAAUACCUCAAGAACCCCACACCUGUGUACCUGCAGGCAAAUACAACGGCCAACACCAGGCCCACACCCCCGAACUAGACCUGUGUAUACGUAGACUACUGGGGGCGUCGACUCCGUGGCUGUCCUAGUAUUCUCUAGGGAACGGUGCGGACUUGAUACUCCACCCAGUUACACAGGACCCUCUCACAUUGAGGGAUUAACUUAUAAAAGGACCACAUUUGUGGGACCAGACCCCUACAGCCUUCCCGAGCUGAGCAAAAAACAGACAAGGGUCGAACUGAUCACGUAGAAGUUCACUGAGGGGGCGCUACACCACCUGAG